rnacentral:rRNA from 1 species
GACGAACGCUGGCGGCGUGCCUAAUACAUGCAAGUCGAGCGAAUGGAAGGGAGCUUGCCCCCUGAAGUUAGCGGCGGACGGGUGAGUAACACGUGGGCAACCUGCCUGUAAGACUGGGAUAACUUCGGGAAACCGGAGCUAAUACCGGAUACGUUCUUUUCUCGCAUGAGGAAAGAUGGAAAGAUGGUUUCGGCUAUCACUUACAGAUGGGCCCGCGGCGCAUUAGCUAGUUGGUGGGGUAAUGGCCCACCAAGGCGACGAUGCGUAGCCGACCUGAGAGGGUGAUCGGCCACACUGGGACUGGGACACGGCCCAGACUCCUACGGGAGGCAGCAGUAGGGAAUCUUCCGCAAUGGACGAAAGUCUGACGGAGCAACGCCGCGUGAGCGAAGAAGGCCUUCGGGUCGUAAAGCUCUGUUGUCAGGGAAGAACAAGUGCCAGAGUAACUGCUGGCACCUUGACGGUACCUGACCAGAAAGCCACGGCUAACUACGUGCCAGCCGCCGCAGUAA